rnacentral:rRNA from 1 species
GGUUUCCUACGGGGGGCAGCAGUGAGGAAUAUUGGUCAAUGGACGAGAGUCUGGACCAGCCAAGUAGCGUGAAGGAUGACUGCCCUAUGGGUUGUAAACUUCUUUUAUAUGGGAAUAAAAUGUUCCACGUGUGGGAUUUUGUAUGUACCAUAUGAAUAAGGAUCGGCUAACUCCGUGCCAGCAGCCGCGGUAAUACGGAGGAUCCGAGCGUUAUCCGGAUUUAUUGGGCUUAAUGGGAGCGUAGGGGGAUUGUUAAGUCAGAUGUGCAAGUUUGCGGCUCAACC